rnacentral:rRNA from 1 species
AUUGAACGCUGGCGGCAGGCCUAACACAUGCAAGUCGCACGCGAAAGUUCUUCGGAAUGAGUAGAGUGGCGGACGGGUGAGUAACGCGUAGGAAUCUGCCCAGUAGUGGGGGAUAACCCGGGGAAACUCGGGCUAAUACCGCAUACGCCCCAAGGGGGAAAGCGGGGGAUCUUCGGACCUCGUGCUAUUGGAGGAGCCUGCGUCGGAUUAGCUAGUUGGUAGGGUAAAGGCCUACCAAGGCGACGAUCCGUAGCUGGUCUGAGAGGAUGAUCAGACGCACCGGAAAUGAGACACGGUCCGGACUCCUACGGGAGGCAGCAGUGGGGAAUAUUGCGCAAUGGGCGAAAGCCUGACGCAGCCAUGCCGCGUGUGUGAAGAAGGCCUUCGGGUUGUAAAGCACUUUCAGUGGGGAGGAAAGGCUCAAGGCUAAUAUCCUUGGGAGUUGACGCUACCCACAGAAGAAGCACCGGCUAAUUCCGUGCCAGCAGCCGCAGUAAGAC